rnacentral:rRNA from 1 species
GAUGAACGCUAGCGGCAGGCUUAAUACAUGCAAGUCGUGGGGCGAGCAGGGGUAGCAAUACCCGCUGGCGACCGGCAAACGGGUGCGGAACACGUACGCAACCUUCCGUUUAACUGGAGAAUAGCCCCUCGAAAGAGGGAUUAAUACUCCGUAACAUCCCGACAUGGCAUCAUGAUGGGAUUAUAGCUCCGGCGGUUAGAGAUGGGCGUGCGCCUGAUUAGAUAGUUGGCGGGUAACGGCCCACCAAGUCUGCGAUCAGUAACUGGUGUGAG